UGCGAUCAGUGUUUGCAAAUUUGGCCCGUCCAACUCUGAACCGGCCUAUCAAAUCGGACCCGGGUAGUGGUUGAACCGAUGUUGAUCGGUUUUGGUGGUCUUGUCGGGUAUUUUUUAAAAAAUCAAAAAAAAUAAAUAUAAUCCAAAAAAAUAAGAGAAUUGUUCGUAAUGCGUUUUUAAAUGUUUUUUUAUCAUUUUGGCAAAUAUUUGAAAGUGUUUUUGGCCAUACAUACUCAUUUUUACAUUUUCCCAUCUUUUCUAAAAAUUUUCAAAAAUACUCUUGGGCACAGAUCAAUUUUUUUAAAUCCAUUUUUUUUUCACUACUUUUGUGUUUUGUUUAAUAAUGCUUUAAAUAUAAUUUUUUGGAUUUUUUUAUUUUUUUUAACACUUUUUUGACUGCCCAAAACCUGCACGGUUAGGCCUGUUUACCAGUUACUCUGACCCGCCCCUUGGCCGUUCCAAGACUGGUUCGAUUUUUCGAACACUGGAUGCAAUAUUAAAAUUCUGAUAUACACAUGGGUGAUACGUAUUGCUGAGUUUAUAUGGAGGUUACAUCUUGAGUGUGCAGAACAUGAUAUUUAUAGAGGGAAG
rnacentral:lncRNA from 1 species